AAGGACAUGUUCAAAAUAAAUCAUGCUAUCAAAAUUUACAAUAUAAUUUUAUUUGAGUGAAAUCUAUCCUGGUAUAGCAAUUUUUAUUAAAAAAAAUGUAUCAAAAAUAUGAUUUUCAGUCAUUGGAAAAUAUUUGGAUUAACUGUAGUAUACGGAUAUGUAGUUCCUUGCAGACUAUCUUCUUUUGUUAAGGUGGUACCUAACACUACAGGGAGAUAACUCUGUAAAAUCAGCUAAACAUUUUAAUUACAUUGCAAAAUUAAGAAAAUAUUAAGCUUCUCAAUGAUCAAAUUUUUUUUUUAAACUGCUAUAUAUCCAACCAAAUUUUAUUGAGAAAGUGAUUGGUUAAAGGUUUUUGAAAUUUUGAAAUUUUUGUCAAAGGGUCAAAGUAAAUAUUUUGUCAGAAUUUUAUGAAAAUUCAACAAGCCAAAUUGAUUUUAGUCAAGGUGUUAGGUACCACCUUAAAUAUGUGAUAAAGUCGUCAAGUUGACAGUAGAACCUUGAA
rnacentral:lncRNA from 1 species